rnacentral:rRNA from 1 species
UACAGAGGUCUCAAGCGUUGUUCGGAUUCAUUGGGCGUAAAGGGUGCGUAGGCGGCUUUCUAAGUCGGGGGUGAAAGCCUGUGGCUCAACCACAGAAUUGCCUUCGAUACUGGGGAUCUCGAGACCGGAAGAGGUGAGUGGAACUGCGAGUGUAGAGGUGAAAUUCGUAGAUAUUCGCAAGAACACCAGUGGCGAAGGCGGACUCACUGGUCCGGUUCUGACGCUGAGGCGCGAAAGCGUGGGGAGCAAACAGGG